rnacentral:rRNA from 1 species
AUUGAACGCUGGCGGCAGGCCUAACACAUGCAAGUCGAGCGGAUGAAGGGAGCUUGCUCCUGGAUCCAGCGGCGGACGGGUGAGUAAUGCCUAGGAAUCUGCCUGGUAGUGGGGGAUAACGUCCGGAAACGGGCGCUAAUACCGCAUACGUCCUGCGGGAGAAAGUGGGGGAUCUUCGGACCUCACGCUAUCAGAUGAGCCUAGGUCGGAUUAGCUAGUUGGUGGGGUAAAGGCCUACCAAGGCGACGAUCCGUAACUGGUCUGAGAGGAUGAUCAGUCACACUGGAACUGAGACACGGUCCAGACUCCUACGGGAGGCAGCAGUGGGGAAUAUUAGACAAUGGGCGAAAGCCUGAUCCAGCCAUGCCGCGUGUGUGAAGAAGAUCUUCGGAUUGUAAAGCACUUUAAGUUGGGAGGAAGGGCAGUAAGUUAAUACCUUGCUGUUUUGACGUUACCAACAGAAUAGGCACCGGCUAACUUCGUG